CCCCGAAAGCUGGUGAACUAUGCCUGUGAAGGGCAAAGUCAGAGGAAACGCUGAUGGAGGCCC
rnacentral:rRNA from 1 species